UAUUCCCCACUGCUGCCUCCCGUAGGAGUCUGGGCCGUGUCUCAGUCCCAAUGUGGCCGUCCGCCCUCUCAGGCCGGCUAUUGAUCGUCGCUUUGGUGGGCCGUUACCCCGCCAGCUGGCUAAUCAAACGCGGAUCCAUCCUGUACCGAUAAAUCUUUUGCCUCAGGAGGAUGCCCUCCCGUGGUCUCAUGCGGUAUUACCAGCCGUUUCCAGCUGCUAUCCCCCAGUACAGUGCAGGUUCUCCACGCGUUACUCACCCGUCCGCCACUAUGUAAUGAAAUCUGUCCGAAAACUUCAAUCAUUACACCGUUCGACUUGCAUGUGUUAGGCACGCCGCCAGCGUUCAUCCUGAGCCAAA
rnacentral:rRNA from 1 species